AUUGAACGCUGGCGGCAGGCCUAACACAUGCAAGUCGAACGAGCGGCGGACAGGUAAGGAAUGUCUGGGAAACCGCGUGUUGGAGGGGGAUCACUACUGUAUACGGUUUCUAAUACUGCGUACCCUCCGCUGUGCCCCGAUGGGGUUAGCUAGUAGGGGGGGGAACGGCUCACCUAGGCGACGCUCCCUAGCUGGUCUGCGAGGAUGACCAGCCAAACUGGAACUGAGACAAGGUCCAGACUCCUACGGGAGGCAGCAGUGGGGAAUAUUGAACAAUGGGCGCAAGCCUGAUGCAGCCAGGCCGCGUGUGGGAAGAAGGCCUUCGGGUUGUAAAGCACUUUCAGCGGGGAGGCGUUACCCGCAGAAGAAGCAACGGCUAACUCCGGGCCAGCAGCCGCGGUAAUUC
rnacentral:rRNA from 1 species